UUUCAUGUGUGGUGGCGCUGUAAGUCAACUGUCAAAAACACCGUUACGCGCGUUUUGCAGUUUGUUCUGAUCUCUUGGUUAUGUAUAAAAUUACAAUAUUUCUAAAGCAUCCUAUUUUGAUAGUAUCCUAUCAAAAGAAGUAGUAGUUAUUCCCGUUAACGAAUUUAAAAGGCAAUUUCUGUUUCAACUCUCUCAAAAUUCGACACGAAGCAAUCGGAGAAUGUUGCACUUGGGGCUAUAAAACCGGCAAGUACUAAAAAAUGUUUUCCAAGCAGAAGUUCGGUGUGCCCUGAAGAGUGUAUUAUGUUCUGACCUAGUUCACCAUACGUUCAACUACGUGUUGUCUCUUAAAACAAGCGUGAAAUCGUGGAGUGCAUUCGUCUGCGGUUCAAAUGUGGCACGCGAAGAAAAUUACAAGCAAGAAAUUAGCUCCAAUUACGAAUACGUCGAAGCACUUUUUCAAUUACGCGCAGCAACAUGAGCAUAGUUGAAAUGCGCCCGCAUUUGUUUGAGAUUCUGGGAUUAUUUUUCUAUACACGAAACACAAGCAGGUCUUGCUCGAAUAGACAUUCAGGUUGGCUUGCCAGCGUCGAGUUUAUAGAAUACUAGAAGCACGUAUUACAAUUUUCCGGCGUGCAGUUUCGGGAAAGUUUCUGCAAUUUCAGUAGGCGGACGCACUCGACGUCGCAACUUGGCCCCGAAACUACGUGCGCAUCUUCAAAUAUAAAAUAUAAAAUGGAAUAUAGAAUAAACCGAGCUCGCACGAAUAAAAAAUGAAAUUCAACGCUUUAUAUUGAGUGUUGGAAGUUGGAAUGUCGUAAAAAUUCCAAUUUCACAACUCGUAAAAACUUCAGAAAUAUAUAUGAAAGCAUUCGUUAUAGAUAAUACAAUCAAUACAUUACAAUUAAUCACG